rnacentral:tRNA from 1 species
GUUUCCGUUUUGUAGUGGUUAUCACGUUCGCCUCAAACGCGAAAGGUCCCUGGUUUGAAACCGGGUGGAAACA